rnacentral:rRNA from 1 species
UGGGGAAUUUUGGACAAUGGGGGCAACCCUGAUCCAGCAAUGCCGCGUGUGUGAAGAAGGCCUUCGGGUUGUAAAGCACUUUUGUCCGGAAAGAAAACGUCGUGGUUAAUACCCGUGGCGGCUGACGGUACCGGAAGAAUAAGCACCGGCUAACUACGUGCCAGCAGCCGCGGUAAUACGUAGGGUGCAAGCGUUAAUCGGAAUUACUGGGCGUAAAGCGUGCGCAGGCGGUCCGCUAAGACAGAUGUGAAAUCCCCGGGCUUAACCUGGGAACUGCAUUUGUGACUGGCGGGCUAGAGUAUGGCAGAGGGGGGUAGAAUUCCACGUGUAGCAGUGAAAUGCGUAGAGAUGUGGAGGAAUACCGAUGGCGAAGGCAGCCCCCUGGGCCAAUACUGACGCUCAUGCACGAAAAGCGUGGGGAGCAAACAGGAUUAGAUACCCUGGUAGUCCACGCCCUAAACGAUGUCAACUAGUUGUCGGGUCUUCAUUGACUUGGUAACGUAGCUAACGCGUGAAGUUGACCGCCUGGGGAGUACGGUCGC